rnacentral:rRNA from 1 species
GAUGAACGCUGGCGGCGUGCCUAAUACAUGCAAGUCGAGCGAACAGACCAGGAGCUUCCUCCUCUGACGUUAUCGGCGGACGGGUGAGUAACACUUGUACAACCUACCUAUAAGACUGGGAUAACAUCGGGAAACCCGAGCUAUUACCGGAUAAUAUAUUGAACCGCAUGCUUCAAUAGUGAAAGUCGGUUUUUCUGUCACUUAUAGAUGGAUCCGCACCGCAUUAGCUAGUUGGUAAGGUAACGGCUUACCAAGGCAGCGAUGCUUAGCCGCCCUGAGAGGGAGGUUCGCCAGCCUGGAGGUGAGAAGGGGUAGCGACUCUGGCGCUGAGACGCAGUAGGGAAUCCUGCGCAAUGGGCGAGAGCUUAACGGAAGAAAGCGGCGUCAAUGAUGAAGGUCUUAGGAUGGUUAAACUCUGUUAUUAGGGAGGAAGAAAUGUGUAAGUAACUAUGCAGAUCAUGACGGUACCUAAUGAGAAAGCCCCGGCUAACUACGUG